GACGAACGCUGGCGGCGUGCUUAACACAUGCAAGUCGAACGGAAAGGCCCCUUUGGGGGUACUUGCGUGGCUGACGGGCGAGUAACACGUGCGUAACCUGCCCUUGCCUUCGUGAUAACUUCAUGAAACUGGGGCUAAUACCGGAUAGGAAUCCUUUCUGCAUGCUGGGGGUUGGAAAGCUUCCGGGGUUUUGUAUGGACUCGCGGCUUGUCCGCUUGGUGGUGGGGUAGUGGGUUACCAAGGGUUUGGCUGGUAGCCGGCCUGGGUGGGCGACCGGCCAACUUUGGGAUGGGGUAAGGGCCAGGCUCCGACGGGGGGCAGCAGGGGGGAAUAUUGCACAAUGGGGGGGAGCCUGAUGCAGCAACGCCGGGGGCGGGAAGACGGGCUUUGGGUUGGAAACCGCUUUCAGCAGGGGCGAAGCUGGUGGUGACGGUACCUGGAGAAGAAGCACCGGCUAACUACGUG
rnacentral:rRNA from 1 species